GAUGAAGAACGUAGUGAAAUGCGAUAAGUAGUGUGAAUUGCAGAAUUCAGUGAAUCAUCGGAUCUUUGAACGCACAUUGCGCCCCUUGGUAUUCCAUGGGGCAUGCCUGUUCGAGCGUCAUUUGUACCCUCAAGCUAUGCUUGGUGUUGGGUGUUUGUCCUCUCCUUUUGCGAUUGGACUCGCCUUAAAGACAUUGGCAGCCAGUGUAUUGGUCUUGAAGCGCAGCACAUUUUGCGAUUCUUGCUGAUAAUCACUAGCGUCCAGUAAGCCUAUUUUAACACUUUUGACCUCGGAUCAGGUAGGGAUACCCGCUGAACUUAAGCAUAUCAAUAAGCGGAGGA
rnacentral:misc_RNA from 1 species